GUGGAGGAGGAGUGGAAGAAGGCACUAAAGGGAAAGAUUGACAUGUUUAUGUUAUGGAAAAAGAAAUUUUUCUAAGUUGCAUUGCAAACUGUGUCCAGUUUAUCUGUGAUGUUUAUGAAAUAGCUAAAAGCAAAUGAAGGGCAUAUUAUGGUUUUUCAUUUAAAAAAAAAAAAGAACUGACCAACUAUGCCUGCCGAUGUAUAAACAAAGUGAGCCAGUUACUUCAAGGGAAACCACUAAUAGUAUUUGCUGCCAAUGAGCUUUGAAGAGAAAAUUAAAAUUUUGGGGGUUUUUUGUUUUUGUUUUUGUUUUUCUGAGACGGAGUCUCACUCUGUAGCCCAGGCUGGAGUGCAGUGGCGCCAUCUCAGCUCACUGCAAGCUCUGCCUCCCGGGUUCACGCCAUUCUCCUGCCUCAGCCUCCUGAGUAGCUGGGACUACAGGCACCUGCCACCAUGCCGGGGUAAUUUUUUUGUAUUUUUAGUAGAGACAGGGUUUCACCGUGUUAGCCAGGAUGGUCUCAAUCUCCUGACCUCAUGAUCUGCCCACCUCGGCCUCCCAGAAUGCUUGGAUUACAGGCGUGAGCCACUGUGCCCGGCCAAAAAUUAGAAUUUUAUAAAACUUGUAUCUGUCAUCAUCAGCUUCCCAGCUUUCUAAUAUUUAAGAAUUUUUCUGAUGAAAUUGUUAGUGAUAUUAACAAAUGUGAUUUUAAAAUAUUGUAUAAUGAGUCAAUGUUAGGAAGAUCUGCAUAACUCUGUGAACGAAUAUUUUACAUAUUAUUUGUAUACCAAGUUGCAAGGUCAUGCAUGGGUAAAAUGUCCAUUCAAAGUGCAAGUACUGUAACAAGGUACAAAAUGUUCAUUGAUAUAAUUUCCGAUUCUACAUUGCAACAAACCUUUAACAAACUACCACUUAUUGAAUUUUGGUAUAGUGUCAAAGAAUACCUAUAAUUAUCUGAAAAGGCUAUUAAAAGCUCUAUCUCUUACCAACUAUGUAUCUAUGUGAAGUCACAUUUUUAUGAUAUAAUUAAACCAAAAUAAUAUAUUACAAUAAUGGAAAAAUCAAGCUGUUUUCUAUUAAGCCAGACCCUAAAGAGACUAUUCAAAAAGGUGAAACAAUGGCAUUCAUCUCACUAAACUUUUUGUUUUGAAAAUGUAGUUGGCCAGGCACAAUGGCUCAUGCCUGUAAUCCCAGCACUUUGGGAGGUCAAGGCGGGCGGAUCACCUGAGGUCAGGAGUUUGAGACUAGCCUGACCAACAUGGAGAAACCCCGUCUCUACUAUAAAUACAAAAUCAGCUGGGUGUGGUGGCGCAUGCCUGUAAAUUCCAGCUACUUGGGAGGCUGAGGCAGGAGAAUCGCUUGAACCCGGGAGGCAGAGGUUGCAGUGAGCUGAGAUCGUGCCAUUGCACUCCAGCCUGGGCAACAAGAGCAAAACUCCGUGUCAAAAAAAUAAUUUUUUUUCGAUAUGGUAAAUAUUGAUAAAUAUAAUCCAUAUAAACAAAAGCUUUCUGGGGUCCUCAGUAAUUUUUAAGUAUGAAGAGUCUAGAGAUGAAAAAGUUUGAGAAUUGUUGCCCUCAGGGAAUAAUUUAAAGUGAGUUUAAACUGAAGCAAUCUCUCAACUACUUUCCACAAUAGAAGAGAAAACCCUCUAGUUCGUUGAAAAACAUUUGCUAGUUUAAACAUAAGGAUUUGAAAUGGAUGGCAGAUAUGGGGCUGACUGCUCUUCUUACUUAUAAUUAGUUCUUACCUCAAACCCAUGCUGUAAUUUCCAAGUCUUGGUUGAGGUAAUACCAAAGAGAGAAUAUCUCUGUGUUUCUAUAGAGGGGUAGUCAGACUUCAGGCCUCCUGUGGCCAGAUCAGUCAGUUCAUGGCAAGGCAAAGAUAGGCUGGUUUUAGGAUAUGAGUCCCCCCCUUUUUUUUUCAGGGUCUAAGCAGACCUCCUUCUGGAAAAAAUGACAAGUCCUAAUCAUUAACUGCUGUAUCUGCAACACCAAGCAUCUAAGACACUGCUUGGCACAUAUUAGGCACUCAAGAUAUUGUUGAAGCCAGUCCUCCAUGGCACAUACCUGUAGUCCUAGCUACUUGGGAAGCUGAGGCAAGACGAUCGUUGAGCCCAGGAGUUUGAGUCCAGCCUGGGCAGCAUAAGCUGACCUCAUUUCUAAAAAUAAAUGAAUAAAUAUUGUUGAAUGAAGUCAAGCUCCUUUAUUUUUAUUACAGAAAUCAUGCUCUACCUUUUAACUGGCAGGAAGCUAAAGCAACUCAAGAUUUAAGAGAUGAAUCAGGCUGGGCACGGUGGCUCACGGCUGUGUCCCAGCACUUUGGGAGGUCGAGGCGAACAGAUCACGAGGUCAGGAGUUCAAGACCAUCCUGGCCUAUCUGAUGAAACCCCUUGUCUACUAAAAAUACAAAAAUUAGCCAGGCGUGGUGGCGCAUGCCUGUAGUCCCAGCUACUCGGGAGGCUGACGCAGGAAUCACUUGAACCCAGGAGGCAGAGGUUGCAGUGAGCCAAGAUUGUGCCACUGAACUCCAGCCUGGUGACAGAGUGAGACUGUCUCAAAAAAAAAAAAAAAUUAAUUAAUCGAAAAAAAAGGAAGCUUUCAAAAGAUUAGGAAAUUGCAGGAAUGCAUGGGAAAAAGAGAAUGGCCAUUGGUCCUGUUAUCUAGUGCAACUUGAUAAACCACUCCAAACCGUAGAGCUUAGAACAACAAUUAUUUUAUUAUCUAUUCGUCAUUUUUUAAUAUUUAUUUUAUUUACUUAGAGAUCCUGUCUCUUUGUUACCCAGGCUGAAGUGCAGUGAUACCAUAUUGGCUCACUGCCACCUCUGCCUCUUGGGCUCCAGCGAUCCUCCUGCCUCAGCCUUCCAAGUAGCUGGAACCCCACAGCGCGGCACCACACCUGACUAAUUUUUGUAUUUUUAGUAGAGAGGGUGUUUCACUACGUUGCCCAGGCUAGUCUCGAACUCCUGGGCCCAAGGGAUCCAUCCGCCUCACUUCCUAAACUUCUGGGAUUACAAGCGUGAGCCACCGCACCUGGCCUAUUAUUGUUUUGUUAAAAGCAGGGUCUCGGCUUUGCAAAUGCAGCCACCGACGCCAGGAGCUCUGUACGAUCAGCCAUGGUUAACCCCACCGUGUUC
rnacentral:lncRNA from 1 species